AGCUCAGAUUUCUCAUCUGAAAACCUUCAGGCCAGGGGAACAUGAGCAACAGUUUUUAGAGACAUUAAAGAAAAGAACUCUCAACCCAGAUUUCUAUAUCCAUGAAAGGAAAAUAAAGACAUUCUUAGAUGAAGGAAAACUAAGGGAAUUUGUUCCCAGAAAACAUAGCGGAAAUAAAUCAUCGUAGGCAAAAGGGAAAUGAUCCCAGAGAGAAACCUGGAAACUUAGAAAUGAAGACAGAGCAGUGGAAAGGAGAAGUAUCAGGGCAAACACCACUGACCACUUUUUUCUUAAGUUCCUUCGAACGCAUCAAACACAAAACUUGCAACACGGUCUGGUGGGUUUUCGACAUACGGAGAUGUAAACUACAAGACCAGCACAGCACCAAGGGGUGGGGCACACAGGAAGGGGCAGAGUUGCCAGCUGUCUCUGCACUUCCCUGGGAGACAGCAAGGGUUGUGGGUGUCAGAAUCCCUGGAGCAUCAGCCAAGAGCCAAUGGAUGAACUAAGAUGUGACGUAUAAAUAUCUAUGCAACUCAUAACUGCACAGGAAAACGGGAAACAGGAGGCAAACAGAAAACAAAACUGAACAGCCUGCCUAACUCCAGCCAUUUCAUAAUCACACGGAGUCCAAGACAAAUGCAGGCCGGUGGGGUCUUUAAAACCUGACCCGAGUGGGCUGGGGCUGUCGCUCAGUGGUAGAGCGCUUACCUAGCACCUGUGAGGCACUGGGUUCGAUUCUCAGCACUG
rnacentral:lncRNA from 1 species